UUGCCAGCUGAUCCUAGCUUCAGGAGGUUUGCAGCGCUGGGAAAUGGUGCCGCGUGGGCAGACGAAAGGGACACGGCGCGGUGCAGGAUCACGGCUUCUCAGCCAAAGGGGAGAGGCAGAACAUGGCCUGGGAUGCAUUUCUUGAGCUGCAGCCAAACGUGUCAGACUUCUCUUGACAGUGACCUGAAGAAUGGAGAGUGGGGAAUGCCUGGGUUCAGUCGACUGACAAAAAAAUCCCCAUAAUUUGUUUUAUCGCUUAGGAACUUUCCACAGAUCAG
rnacentral:lncRNA from 1 species